UGAAAAGAGAGGAAGAAAUUAACAACGCCAAACUAGCUAUCUACAGAAGCCUUUCUUUUCACUCCAAGACCUUAGAAAUAAUUCCUUGUUUACUGAGUUAGAGGCCCUGUGUAGUAGAGCCAAAUGGCUAGGUUCAGGGUUAGCUUGGCAUAAAACUUUGUCUAGACCCUAGAGGUGGGUUGUAUGUAUAUGAUUUGUAUGUGCAUACAACAAAUAAAACUGAAUUUGAUAUAGAUAGUAGUUUUCCUAGACAAAUUUCUAUUCCUUGUUUAUGAACUAAAAUUCAUAUAGGCUUGUUUGCAUGCAACACGUGCAUACAAAAGCACCACAUUUGAAAAAGAAGCGCACGGAUGCAAUGCCAUGUGAAUCCAAGUCUUUGUGCGAAAGUAGAGGCACUUGUGAGGUCAAUGGAAACGAAAAGUAAUUUAUUUCGCUGUGUUUUUUUUGUUUUUGUAAAGUAGAUGAUGUUAAAUCUCAUUACAUUUUUAGAUAUCGAGAAUCUAUUCAUAUGCUACAUGAAAUGCAUUUGUAGUGGGGUUUUAUGCGGUUUCCAACGUCGGUCUUGUUUAGAUGUGAAUUUUUUUUUAUUUAGCUACUGUAGCAUUUUCGUUUGUUUGUGGUAAAUAUUAUCCAAUUAUAGACUAACUAGGGUCAAAAGAUUCGUCUCGCGAUUUACAGACAAACUGUGUAAUUAGUUUUAUUUUCGUCUAUAUUUAAUACUUCAUGCAUGUGUUGUAAAAUUCGACGUGAUAGGGAAACUUUUUGGAUUUUGGGUGGAACUAAACAAGGCCGUCUUAGAAAUAAUGCUCACUCGUUUUGUCCCCAUGAAAGGUUUUAGUUCUCUCCUUGUCGAUACAUGCACAUGCUCUACUUUUACUUAUAUGAUACUUUAUUUAAUGUAUAUGAAACCUAUAAUCUACAUUAAAACUGGCCUGAGGCCAUUACCAUUGAAGAUUUCGAACUCAUUAAAUGAGGUGCCACGUGGAUAAAAACUAAUAUCCAUGUCAAGAAAUUUUUUAAUAGAAAGAAGAGGUGUUUCAUCAUGAUGUAAUUGGUUCUACACUGUUUCCAAAUCUAUGAUAAAUUUUGAAACUAGCAUACAGCAACACAUCUAAGCGCACAUCGAAUAGUAAGAGUCGGUACCAACUCUUAGAUGAGUGAGAUGAGUAAAGAGUUAGGUACUAAUCACGUGCAUGGUAUUGCUAUGUAUAACCUAUUAAACCGUGGAAUGCGCAAGAUAGCUAGUACUGUGUACUUGAAGAGACUGUAUUUCAUUCAGUAGUCUCAACACUUUAGGUGAAAUGAUAGUCUCCAAAUUAAACUACAG
rnacentral:lncRNA from 1 species